rnacentral:tRNA from 1 species
UUCUUGGUGGUCCAGUGGUUAAGACUGGGUGCUUUCACUGCCAUGGACCCAGGUUUGAUCCCUGGUCAGGGAA